GGGGAGUGAAACAGUUCCUGAAACCGUGUGCCUACAAGUAGUUAGAGCCCGUUAAUGGGUGAUAGCGUGCCUUUUGUAGAAUGAACCGGCGAGUUACGAUUUGUUGCAAGGUUAAGCGGAAAAAGCGGAGCCGUAGCGAAAGCGAGUCUGAAUAGGGCGCAUAAGUAACAGGUCGUAGACCCGAAACCAGGUGAUCUACCCAUGUCCAGGAUGAAGGUAAGGUAAUACUUACUGGAGGUCCGAACCCACGCACGUUGAAAAGUGCGGGGAUGAGGUGUGGGUAGCGGAGAAAUUCCAAUCGAACUUGGAGAUAGCUGGUUCUCUCCGAAAUAGCUUUAGGGCUAGCCUCGAGGUAAAGAGUCAUGGAGGUAGAGCACUGUUUGGACUAGGGGCCCUUCUCGGGUUACCGAAUUCAGAUAAACUCCGAAUGCCAUGUACUUAUACUCGGGAGUCAGACUGCGAGUGAUAAGAUCCGUAGUCGAAAGGGAAACAGCCCAGACCACCAGUUAAGGUCCCCAAAUAUAUGUUAAGUGGAAAAGGAUGUGGGGUUGCUUAGACAACCAGGAUGUUGGCUUAGAAGCAGCCACCAUUGAAAGAGUGCGUAAUAGCUCACUGGUCGAGUGACCCCGCGCCGAAAAUGUACCGGGGCUAAACAUAUUACCGAAACUGUGGAUGAACCUCUUUAGAGGUUCGUGGUAGGAGAGCGUUCUAAGGGCGGUGAAGUCAGACCGGAAGGACUGGUGGAGCGCUUAGAAGUGAGAAUGCCGGUAUGAGUAGCGAAAGAAGGGUGAGAAUCCCUUCCACCGAAUAUCUAAGGUUUCCUGAGGAAGGCUCGUCCGCUCAGGGUUAGUCGGGACCUAAGCCGAGGCCGAUAGGCGUAGGCGAUGGACAACAGGUAGAGAUUCCUGUACCAGUGCUAAUUGUUUAACCGAUGGGGUGACACAGAAGGAUAGGGAAUCGCACGAAUGGAAAUGUGCGUCCAAGCAGUGAGUGUGAGAAGUAGGCAAAUCCGCUUCUCGCGAAGCAUGAGCUGUGAUGGGGAAGGAAAUUAAGUACGGAAGUUCCUGAUUUCACGCUGUCAAGAAAAGCCUCUAGGAAGAGUAGUACUGCCCGUACCGCAAACCGACACAGGUAGAUGAGGAGAGAAUCCUAAGGUGAGCGAGAGAACUCUCGUUAAGGAACUCGGCAAAAUGACCCCGUAACUUCGGGAGAAGGGGUGCUCUAUUAGGGUGCAAGCCCGAGAGAGCCGCAGUGAAUAGGCCCAGGCGACUGUUUAGCAAAAACACAGGUCUCUGCAAAACCGUAAGGUGACGUAUAGGGGCUGACGCCUGCCCGGUGCUGGAAGGUUAAGAGGAGUGCUUAGCUUCGGCGAAGGUACGAAUUGAAGCCCCAGUAAACGGCGGCCGUAACUAUAACGGUCCUAAGGUAGCGAAAUUCCUUGUCGGGUAAGUUCCGACCCGCACGAAAGGCGCAACGAUCUGGGCACUGUCUCAACGAGAGACUCGGUGAAAUUAUAGUACCUGUGAAGAUGCAGGUUACCCGCGACAGGACGGAAAGACCCCGUGGAGCUUUACUGCAACCUGAUAUGGAAUGUUUGUACCGCUUGUACAGGAUAGGUAGGAGCCGAAGAGACGUGUGCGCUAGCAUACGAGGAGGCAAUGGUGGGAUACUACCCUGGCUGUAUGACCAUUCUAACCCGCCACGCUUAGCGCGUGGGGAGACAGUGUCAGGUGGGCAGUUUGACUGGGGCGGUCGCCUCCCAAAGAGUAACGGAGGCGCCCAAAGGUUUCCUCAGAAUGGAUGGAAAUCAUUCGCAGAGUGUAAAGGCACAAGGGAGCUUGACUGCGAGACUGACAAGUCGAGCAGGGACGAAAGUCGGGCUUAGUGAUCCGGUGGUUCCGCAUGGAAGGGCCAUCGCUCAACGGAUAAAAGCUACCCCGGGGAUAACAGGCUUAUCUCCCCCAAGAGUCCACAUCGACGGGGAGGUUUGGCACCUCGAUGUCGGCUCGUCGCAUCCUGGGGCUGUAGUCGGUCCCAAGGGUUGGGCUGUUCGCCCAUUAAAGCGGCACGCGAGCUGGGUUCAGAACGUCGUGAGACAGUUCGGUCCCUAUCCGUCGCGGGCGCAGGAAAUUUGAGAGGAGCUGUCCUUAGUACGAGAGGACCGGGAUGGACACACCGCUGGUGUACCAGUUGUUCCGCCAGGAGCAUCGCUGGGUAGCUAUGUGUGGCAGGGAUAAACGCUGAAAGCAUCUAAGCGUGAAGCCCCCCUCAAGAUGAGAUUUCCCAUUUCUUCGGAAAGUAAGAUCCCUGAAAGAUGAUCAGGUAGAUAGGUUUGGAGUGGAAGUGUAGCGAUACAUGGAGCGGACAAAUACUAAUCGAUCGAGGACUUAACCAA
rnacentral:rRNA from 1 species